UACGUAGGGUGCAAGCGUUGUCCGGAAUUAUUGGGCGUAAAGAGCUCGUAGGCGGUCUGUCACGUCUGCUGUGAAAACUCGGGGCUUAACCCCGGGCCUGCAGUGGGUACGGGCAGACUAGAGUGCGGUAGGGGAGACUGGAAUUCCUGGUGUAGCGGUGAAAUGCGCAGAUAUCAGGAGGAACACCGGUGGCGAAGGCGGGUCUCUGGGCCGUAACUGGCGCUGAGGAGCGAAAGCGUGGGGAGCGAACAGG
rnacentral:rRNA from 1 species